AGGUGAACCUGCGGAGGGAUCAUUACAAGUGACCCCGGUCUAACCACCGGGAUGUUCAUAACCCUUUGUUGUCCGACUCUGUUGCCUCCGGGGCGACCCUGCCUUCGGGCGGGGGCUCCGGGUGGACACUUCAAACUCUUGCGUAACUUUGCAGUCUGAGUAAACUUAAUUAAUAAAUUAAAACCUUUAACAACGGAUCUCUUGGUUCUGG
rnacentral:misc_RNA from 1 species